AGAGUUUGAUCCUGGCUCAGGACGAACGCUGGCGGCGUGCUUCAUACAUGCAAGUCGAACGAGAAGCAAGAGCUUGCUCUUGUGGAAAGUGGCGGACGGGUGAGUAACAUGUAGGAAAUCUGCCCUUUAGCGGGGGACAACAGUUGGAAACGACUGCUAAUACCCCAUAUGAGCUAGCCUGAAAUGGUUAUCUUGAAAACUCCGGUGCUAAAGGAUGAGCCUGCAGCUGAUUAGCUAGUUGGCGGGGUAAAUGCCCACCAAGGCUAUGAUCAGUAGCUGGUUUGAGAGGAUGAUCAGCCACAAUGGGACUGAGACACGGCCCAUACUCCUACGGGAGGCAGCAGUAGGGAAUUUUGCGCAAUGGGGGAAACCCUGACGCAGCAACGCCGCGUGACCGAUGACGCCCUUCGGGGUGUAAAGGUCUGUCAGUAGGGACGAAUUUUGACGGUACCUACAGAGGAAGCACCGGCUAACUCCGUGCCAGCAGCCGCGGUAAUACGGAGGGUGCAAGCGUUGUCCGGAAUCAUUGGGCGUAAAGAGUUCGUAGGCGGCAUGUCAAGUCUGGUGUUAAAUCCUGAGGCUCAACUUCAGUUCAGCACUGGAUACUGGCAAGCUAGAAUGCGGUAGAGGUAAAGGGAAUUCCUGGUGUAGCGGUGAAAUGCGUAGAUAUCAGGAAGAACACCGGUGGCGUAAGCGCUUUACUGGGCCGUUAUUGACGCUGAGGAACGAAAGCCGGGGGAGCGAAUGGGAUUAGAUACCCCAGUAGUCCCGGCCGUAAACGAUGGAUACUAGGUGUUGUGGGUAUCGACCCCUACAGUGCCGUAGCUAACGCGA
rnacentral:rRNA from 1 species